GAUAAUGGCUCAGGACGAACGCUGGCGGCAUGCCUAACACAUGCAAGUCGAACGGGGAUACAAGAGCUUGCUUUUGUAUCUUAGUGGCGGACGGGCGAGUAACGCGUGAGCAACCUGCCCUUCAGUGGGGAAUAACGUCUGGAAACGGACGCUAAUACCGCAUAACACAACGAAGCCGCAUGACUUUGUUGUCAAAGGAUUUAUUCGCUGAAGGAUGGGCUCGCGUCCGAUUAGCUAGAUGGG
rnacentral:rRNA from 1 species